rnacentral:misc_RNA from 1 species
AAAAUAAUCCUACCCUUUGUGAAUUUUGUUUGUUUGAAUAAUUUUUUUUUUUAAAAAUUAUUGGAGUCUUUCCUUUAGAGUUUGCUUUUGAGUUUGUAAAAGAAUUCGAAAACAUCUAAAGGGGAUGGUCAAUAAUUUUUUUUGAAAAAAGACAUUUUUUAAAAUUAAACUUUUUGUAUUCCUUUGUCUAAAAAUUAUUUUUAUAAUAUAAAAACAACUUUUGACAAUGGAUCUCUUGGUUCUCGCAACGAUGAAGAACGCAGCAAAAUGCGAUAAGUAGUGUGAAUUGCAGAAUGCGUGAAUCAUCGAAUCUUUGAACGCAUAUUGCACUUUUUUAGUUUACUAAAAAGUAUGUCUGUUUGAGUAUCAGUAAAAUAUUCUCAUAAAAAUCAUUGUGUAUUUUUAUGGUUAUGAGUGUUUUACAACGAUACAAGUUGUUUCACUUUAAAUUUUUUUUAAUAUUGAAAUUUUUCUAAUUUUAAUAAUUAAAAUUGGAUAAAAUUUUCCCGUCAAAAGGAAUAGCCUAAACAAUUUUAAAUGAUUAAUUUUAGCAAAAUUUUCGAAAAAAAGGAAAAUUUUUAUUAAAAUAACUUGAUCUCAAAUCAGAUAAGAGUACCCGCUGAACUUAAGCAUAUCAAUAAGCGGAGGAAAAGAAACUAACAAGGAUUCCCUUAGUAACGGCGAGUGAAGCGGGAAGAGCUCAAAUUUGAAAUCUUCAAGGUUUUACCUUGACGAAUUGUAGUUUAAAGAAGUGUUUUCUGCUGAAGUUUUGGUAAAAGUUCUUGGAAUAGGACAUCAUAGAGGGUGAGAAUCCCGUAUUUGACCAUUAUUUUCAGCUUUGUGAUACACUUUCAAAGAGUCGGAUUGUUUGGGAAUGCAGUCCAAAAUGGGUGGUAAAUUUCAUCUAAAGCUAAAUAUUGGCGAGAGACCGAUAGCGAACAAGUACCGUGAGGGAAAGAUGAAAAGAACUUUGAAAAGAGAGUUAAACAGUACGUGAAAUUGUCAAAAGGGAAGCGUUUGACACCAGUGUUGUUUUCUCGAAAAUCAAUUAAAAAUGGCUCGAUUUUGUAUUGCUGAGACCUUAAAAGCUCACCGUACAUUUUUCGUGUCUUUUUUAAUGCACUUUUCAUUUAACAAGUCAACAUCAGUUUCUUUUGUUGUAAAAGGGUCAUUGGAAGGUGGCUUUCUUUUCGGAGAAAGUGUUUAUAGCCUUUGGCCUCUGCAAUCGGAGAGACUGAGGUCUGCAGCGUAGACUCUUCGGGGUUAGAUACAUUUGUGCUAAGUUAUAGCUUUUUAUAGACAACUUGUUGACUAUAAUUAGUCUUGUAGCUUACUCGCUUAUGCUAUUU